UACGAAGGGGGCUAGCGUUGCUCGGAAUCACUGGGCGUAAAGCGCACGUAGGCGGAUUGCUAAGUCAGGGGUGAAAUCCUGGAGCUCAACUCCAGAACUGCCUUUGAUACUGGCGACCUUGAGUCCGGGAGAGGUGAGUGGAACUGCGAGUGUAGAGGUGAAAUUCGUAGAUAUUCGCAAGAACACCAGUGGCGAAGGCGGCUCACUGGCCCGGUACUGGCGCUGAGGUGCGAAAGCGUGGGGAGCAAACAGG
rnacentral:rRNA from 1 species